CAAUAGCGUAUAUUAAAGUUGUUGCAGUUAAAAAGCUCGUAGUUGGAUUUGUGGUUCGUCCCGCCGGCUGGGUCAUUGACUUUUGCUGUGCUGGUCGUCCAUCCUUGGGUGGAAUCUGUGUGGCAUUAGGUUGUCGCGCAGGGGAUGCCCAUCGCUUACUGUGAAAAAAUUAGAGUGUUCAAAGCAGGCUUAUGCCGUUGAAUAUAUUAGCAUGGAAUAAUGAUAUAGGACCUUGGUACUAUUUUGUUGGUUUGCGCACUGAGGUAAUGAUUAAUAGGGACAGUUGGGGGUAUUCGUAUUCCAUUGUAAGAGGUGAAAUUCUUGGAUUUUUGGAAGACGAACUACUGCGAAAGCAUUUACCAAGGAUGUUUUCAUUAA
rnacentral:rRNA from 1 species